rnacentral:ncRNA from 1 species
AAUUCGGCGUUGAUGAGAAGAGUAAUUAAGAAGCGGAUAUUAACAGAGAGCUCCUGUCUGCUGAAAGGGAGUACUAUUCCUCUUAAUGAACAAAGCCUCGGAGCUUCUUGCCAAUCUGGGGAAAAUCAGGGAUAGCAAGACGGGUUCUUCCGAUAAAAAGAUAGGGUAUGAAUGUACCCGAAGAGGUUGAUAUGGCGACGUAUCAACAAACUGGGGUGGUACCACGAAGCGACAACUCUCGUCCUCAAG